CCUACGGGUGGCAGCAGUGGGGAAUAUUGCUCAAUGGAGGAAACUCUGAUGCAGCGAAGUAGCGUGAGUGAUGACGUCUCUAGGUAUGUAAAGCUUCAUUUGUAGGGGAGUUAAUGACGGUACCUGAGCCAGUAGCCAUGGCUAACUUCGUGACAGCAGCCGCGGUAAUACGUAGGGGGCAAGCGUUAUCCGGAUUUACUGGGUGUAAAGGGAGCGUAGACGGUAGCACAAGUCUGGAGUGAAAUCGCGGGGCUUAACCCCAAAACUGCUUUGGAAACUGUGCGUCUGGAGUGCAGGCGGGGUAAGCGGAAUUCGUGGUGUAGCGGUGAAAUGCUUAGAUAUCACGAAGAACCCCGAUUGCGAAGGCAGCCUGCCAAAGCGUUACUGACACUGAAGCUCGAAAGCGCGGGUAUCGAACAGGAUUAGAUACCCGAGUAGUC
rnacentral:rRNA from 1 species